UCUCUCUCACACACACUUCCCAACCGCAACCCACCCUUACAUUUCUCUCUUCCUCUCCCUCUCCCUCUCCCUCACGCUCACUCUCUCACUCACUCACUCAACGGUGUGCGAGGGUUUUGGAAACCAGACAAACGACACGAACGACGAGCGGUUGUGGGUAUUGGGCAAACGGCGGGAACUUGGGGGCCGGUCAUGGGCAAACGGCGCAAACAAUACGGGCUCGGGGGUCUUGGGAAAAUGGCGCAAAUGACGGUCGUGGGUGGCUCGGUCUUGCGGAGGGUUCGUGGGUGGCUCGGUCUCACAGAGAGGUCGUGGGUGGUGGCUCUCUCUUUGUUAAUGGAGAAAUGUUUCUUCUUGAAUCGGUCCAGUAGUGCUCUGACUUUUAUGGGUCAUUGAGGCAGGAGAAAAGGCUGUGGCAGAGUCAAGGUCGCCACCAAUGAUUCUGCUUCGGUGGAAGCUAUAGCUGAUGAUUAUUAUGAAGUCUUGGGCCUGCUCCCAGAUGCCACACCAGCACAUAUUAAAAAGGCUUAUUAUAAUUGCAUGAAAGCUUGUCAUCCAGAUUUGAGUGGCAAUGACGCAGAGACCAAUAAUUUCUGCAUGUUUUAAUGAAGUCUAUGGGGUGCUUAGUGACCCCGUUCAGCGCAUGAUUUAUGAUGAAAUUCAUGGCUAUGCAUUGACUGCUAUGAACCCAUUCUUUGAUGAUUCAAGCACGAAGGAUCAUGUUUUUGUUGACGAGUUUAGCUGCAUAGGUUUGGGAUGUGUUGAGCAACGACGAAGUUGCCUCGAUUGCUUGGGAAGCGAAGAGCGAGGAGGGAGCGGUGGUUGAGGCGGCCAUCGGAGCGUGGAAAAGAAAGCCCCCUUAUGCCAAAAUGGACGACUGCACUGUGAUUUGCCUCUUCUUUCAGAAAUAACAUUAUCCUGGCUAAAACUCUACUUGGAUAUAUUAGAGAAACAAGAGAACCAAGGCAACAAGAAAUUCUUCUUCAAGUUGUUGGGUAUUAUUUUCUUUCUUGCUUGUAAGAAUUAUGUACAGUGAGGAUUUGAUGUAUUAUUUACAUUGAGAAUAAUUAUUUUUUAAUGAGAAUUAUAAUGAACUUUUAUUGAGAAUUAUUUAGUCUCAUGGGAA